GACGGUGAGGGAYGAAAGCUGGGGGAGCGAACCGGAUUAGAUACCCGGGUAGUCCCAGCUGUAAACGAUGCAGGCUAGGUGUUUGGACGGCCACGUGCCGUUCUAGUGCCGCAGGGAAGCUGUUAAGCCUGCCGCCUGGGGAGUACGAUCGCAAGAUUGAAACUUAAAGGAAUUGGCGGGGGAGCACCACAAGGGGUGAAGCUUGCGGUUUAAUUGGAGUCAACGCCGGAAAUCUCACCGGGAGCGACAGCAGUAUGAAGGCCAGAUUAAAGGUCUUGCYAGACGAGCUGAGAGGAGGUGCAUGGCCGUCGCCAGUUCGUGCCGUGAGGUGUCCUGKUAAGUCAGGCAACGAGGGAGACCCA
rnacentral:rRNA from 1 species